CAUGGCCCUAAUGGAAGCUGCAGCUGCUCGCAUCACAGCUGCUGCGGUCAAAGAGGAGUCCAGAGGGACAGUUUUCCUGAUGGUCACUGUUCUGUUUGCUGUAACUGAUAUGCAGCAUUUUGGGAACAGACAGUU